rnacentral:rRNA from 1 species
CAUGCAAGUCGUACGAGAGUUUUUAACUCAAGUGGCGGACGGGUGAGUAACACGUAAGAAUUUGCCUUUAGGAGGGGACAACAACUGGAAACGGCUGCUAAUACCCCAUAUGCUUUCGAGUGAAAUGGAUUUUUCCGCCUAGAGAGAAGCUUGCGGCUGAUUAGCUUGUUGGUGAGGUAAUGGCUUACCAAGGCGACGAUCAGUAUCUGGUUUGAGAGGACGAUCAGACACACUGGAACUGAGACACGGUCCAGACUCCUACGGGAGGCAGCAGUGGGGAAUUUUCCGCAAUGGGCGAAAGCCUGACGGAGCAAUACCGCGUGAGGGAUGACGGCCUAUGGGUUGUAAACCUCUUUUUUCAGGGAGGAAUCAAAUGACGUGUACCUGAAGAAUAAGCAUCGGCUAACUCCGUGCCAGCAGCCGCGGUAAGACGGAGGAUGCAAGUGUUAUUCGGAAUCACUGGGCGUAAAGCGUCUGUAGGUGGUCAAAUAAGUCAACUGUUAAAUCUUGAGGCUCAACCUCAAAAUCGCAGUCGAAACUAUUAGACUAGAGUAUAGUAGGGGUAAAGGGAAUUUCCAGUGGAGCGGUGAAAUGCGUAGA